rnacentral:rRNA from 1 species
GACGGAGGAUGCAAGCGUUAUCCGGAAUGAUUGGGCGUAAAGCGUCCGCAGGUGGCAGUUCAAGUCUGCUGUCACAGACCGGGGCUCAACCUCGGAAAGGCAGUGGAAACUGAACAGCUAGAGUAUGGUAGGGGCAGAGGGAAUUCCUGGUGUAGCGGGGAAAUGCGUAGAGAUGAGGAGGAACAUCGGUGGCGAAGGCGGUCUGCUGGACCAUAACUGACACUCAGGGACGAAAGCGAGGGGAGCGAAUGGG